GAGCGAACGCUGGCGGCAGGCCUAACACAUGCAAGUCGAACGAACCUUUCGGGGUUCGUGGCGGACGGGUGAGUAACACGUGGGAACGUGCCUUUAGGUUCGGAAUAACUCAGGGAAACUUGUGCUAAUACCGAAUGUGCCCUUCGGGGGAAAGAUUAAUCGCCUUUAGAGCGGCCCGCGUCUGAUUAGCUAGUUGGUUGAGGUAAUGGCUCACCAAGGCGACGAUCAGUAGCUGGUCUGAGAGGAUGAUCAGCCACAUUGGGACUGAGACACGGCCCAAACUCCUACGGGAGGCAGCAGUGGGGAAUCUUGCGCAAUGGGCGAAAGCCUGACGCAGCCAUGCCGCGUGAAUGAUGAAGGUCUUAGGAUUGUAAAAUUCUUUCACCGGGGACGAUAAUGACGGUACCCGGAGAAGAAGCCCCGGCUAACUUCGUG
rnacentral:rRNA from 1 species